AGAUUUUGUCCUUCGGGUACAAUUGAGACAGGUGGUGCAUGGUUGUCGUCAGCUCGUGUCGUGAGAUGUUGGGUUAAGUCCGUAACGAGCGCAACCCUUGUCCUUAGUUACCAGCACGUUAUGGUGGGCACUCUAAGGAGACUGCCGGUGACAAACCGGAGGAAGGUGGGGGAUGACGUCAAGUCAUCAUGGCCCUUACGGCCUGGGCUACACACGUGCUACAAUGGUCGGUACAAAGGGUUGCCAAGCCGCGAGGUGGAGCUAAUCCCAUAAAACCGAAUCGUAGUCCGGAUCGCAGUCUGCAACUCGACUGCGUGAAGUCGGAAUCGCUAGUAAUCGUGAAUCAGAAUGUCACGGUGAAUACGUUCCCGGGCCUU
rnacentral:rRNA from 1 species